rnacentral:rRNA from 1 species
UACAGAGGUCCCGAGCGUUGUUCGGAUUCAUUGGGCGUAAAGGGUGCGUAGGCGGCGGGGCAAGUCUGAUGUGAAAUCCUGGGGCUCAACCCUGGAACUGCAUUGGAUACUGCCUUGCUAGAGUACUGGAGAGGAAACUGGAAUUUACGGUGUAGCAGUGAAAUGCGUAGAGAUCGUAAGGAAGACCAGUGGCGAAGGCGGGUCUCUGGGCCGAUAUUGACGCUGAGGAGCGAAAGCGUGGGGAGCAAACAGG